AAAAACGUGGAAUUCUUGGGAAAAACAGAAAAUUUUGGGGAAAAACCACGAAAUUCCUGGAAAAAAAUGAGGAAUUGUUGGGAAAAAAUGCAGAAUUCCCAGGAAAAAUAUGGAAUUCUUGGGAAAAACCAUGGAAUUCCCAGGAAAAAAUACGGAGUUCCCAGGAAAAACAUGGAAUUCUUGGGGAAAAAUGUGGAAUUCUUGGGAAAAAAUGUGGAAUUUUUGGGGAAAACGUGGAAUUUUUGGGAAAAAAUGCGGAAUUUUGGGAAAAAAUGCAGAAUUUUUUGGGAAAACCAUUGAAUUCCCAGGAAAAACUCGGAUUUCUCAGGAAAAACUCGGAUUUCUCAGGAAAAGACGCAGAAUUUUUGGGAAAAAACCUGAAAUUCCCAGGAAAAAACACAAAAUUCCCAGGAAAAAAGGAGGAAUUCUCGGGAAAAACGUGGAAUUCUUGGAAGAAAAAGAAAGAGGGUGGAGGAAAAUUGUGUAUAAAAAAAAAAUCCCGGAGAAAAAAUUCCCAGAAAAAGAAAAAACCUGGAAAAGGAAAAAAAAAAAAAUAAAAUAA
rnacentral:lncRNA from 1 species